ACUGCUUGGAUUCUGAGUUGAACGGUUGUGUUGCCAGACUUUGAGCUGUGACAGUGAGACAGAUAGACAGCGAUGGCUCCAGGUGUCAAGUCCCCCGCAGUCUGAGGCUCCUGGGGAGACACUCUACGAGGGAUGGGACUGCCCUCAGGUCACGGCCAUCCAUAACUACCUGCCGUCACAGCCCGACGAGCUCAACCUCGCUCUGGGCGACAUUGUCAACGUUCUGCGCAAGACUGAAGGGUGGUUUUACGGUGAGAGGACACGGGAUGGCGAGAAGGGUUGGUUUCCCGGCAAUUAUACUCGUGAGAUCGCAUCCAAACAUGUCCGAGCCAGAAACCUCAAACAACGGCAUCGGCUGUUGCAACUGUCUGCUGACUUUGUCCAGCAGAAGAAAAGGUUAAAUAAAAGUCGAUUCAGCAUAAGUUUUUCUAACUCAGUCAACAAAUUUUUUAAUAAUUGUGAAAUAUUAAUACAUCAAGUUGUUUCUCUCGAAAUAUUUCUCCUGUUCGACCUCAAGUGCUGUUGUAGUGAACUAAAAAUGUAUUUUGUAUUUGUAUAUUUUGUAAAAGUUUACAACAAAGGGACCAAUUCGCUUAAAGUUGACUAAUAUAUUUCUGCUAAUUUUUACUUGUCGAGGUGUAUAUUUUUACUGUGCUAGUCAUGUAAUAACUUCUCUGUUAACAAUAUUGUGUAAUUUGUUGAUGAUGGCUGUAUUUCUAUUGUUGUUAAUGUUAGAAUGCUUAUGAUCUUGUUAUCUGUUAGUUUUGUUAUUGCCAAUAUGUUCUGUAAGCUCUGUGCUAUUGAUAUUGCCAUAACAGUUGAAAUAUUAUUUAGUGAUUAAGUCGUCCAAUUAUGUUGACUUGUUUUUAACGCAUUUAUUCAAUUUGCAUUUAUUUUCAAAGAAGAAUUGACAUUCUACAGCUUGUGUGUUUGUAAGUGCCAAAGGUUAUAUAUAACAUGUAAAUUACCUAUUCUGUUGAUUAAAUAAUCUAAUCUACACAAAAGGAAUUUCUAAGAAAUGCUUUAUGUUAGAUUGAAAUCCAAUGAACAUUACCAAUGAGAAAACAGUAAUUUUUUAAAGUACUUGAAAAGCUAAACAACUCAGUUAUUUUAAUCGAAUUCUCACUAAGAAAUUAAGAAAAACCUGUGAAAUUGAGCUUAAAAAUCUUUAAGAACAGAAGAAAAUAAAUACUUUUUACUAACAAUUGAGUAAUUUUUAUUACCAAAAGAUGUUAUUAAAUAGGAAAGCAAAAUGGACAGAGAAUGUUUUUAUUUUAUUGAAUUAUUGCAAUAUUGUUUUUAAUUCCCCUUACAUAAAAUUACUAUCCAUUCAAAAAGUUUAAAUUUCUAAUUCAUGAAAUUUAUAUUUAUUUUUAAUCUUUACACAAGUGUAGUUACCAGAGAAAAAAGAUUACUUUUUUACUAACAUUGUGAUGAAAUUAGAGUCAAAAUUGUGUCUCAUGUAAAGAAACCUCUAUUAAUUAUUUUAUUGUGAGACAUAACAGUUUCUUUGGACAUUUAGAAUUUUAUUGUCAAGCUUGCAUAGUUAAUACUAAUAUCCUAUUACAUAAUAGCUUCUCAUUUCUCUCCAGUGUCACUUUCAAUUACUCAAUUCUUAAGUUAAGGCAAUUGUGUAAUAAUAUAUCAAUUUUUUGUGAUACAUAAGAAAAUGAGUAGUUGUCACAUCAAUACUUUUUAGUAUUUUAGUUUUGAUUUCAUGAAAUAAUAUUAUAUAACUUAUUAAUUGGCAUAAAAACCACUACGAAUCAUGUUAUAGUGUUCAUAUUGAGUAUCUUAUUUAUUGUAAAUUAAUACUAUUAAACUUAGGACUUCGUACUUAUUUUUUGUAAAAUGCAUUGUACAAAUGUGUAUAAACAGCAAAUCGUAACUUUUACAUUCCACAAUGACCUUGUAAAUAUCUGUUUAAAAAUAUGUUGAAUAAAAAUGUUUUCUAUCAAAAAAA
rnacentral:lncRNA from 1 species